CUCCUUAUGUCCCAACAGAAAUAUGGACAAAAUGGAAUGAUGUUUGGAAUUCUGAGGAGGGCAAGAAGAAAACAGAAUUGGCUAAGAGAAAUAGGCGUGGAGGAGUUUUAACUGGAGUUGCUCAAUUUACCCAUACCACAGGAUCAACACCUCACGUAAAAGUUGCAGCUCAACUUGAAGGACAAUUGGGUCAUUGUCCAUCGUAUUAUGAACUGUUCAGGCAUACACAUACCAAACAACACGAUGGGCAAACAUUCAUAGCUGAAAAAGCCAAACAAAUUCAUGAACAAGUUGAAUCGCAACGGGAGAUGUUGGCAGAAAAUGGGGAGCAGGUGGAUGACAAUCAAUUAUACUAUGACGCGGUUGGUGGACACGAUAAGAAAAGAAGAGUUUAUGGACUUGGUUCAUAUGGUUGUUCUGUUGUUCAUGGUCCAACUAAUGAUAACACUUCUAGCAGUAUGACACC